CCCUUAGAUGUUCUGGGCCGCACACGCGCUACACUGAAGGAGGCAGCGUGUACUCCUGGAUCGAAAGAUUUGGGUAACCCGCGAAUCUCCUUCGUGCUAGGGAUUGAGGUUUGCAAUUAUCCUUCAUGAACGAGGAAUUCCCAGUAAGUGCAAGUCAUAAGCUUGCGCUGACUACGUCCCUGCCCUUUGUACACACCGCCCGUCGCUACUACCGAUUGAAUGAUUUAGUGAGGACUUCGGACUGGGACCGAUGCGGCUUUCGGGCUGCGUCGGUAUUCUGGAAAGAUGUCCAAACUGUNUNAUUUAANGGAAGUAAAANUCGUANCA
rnacentral:rRNA from 1 species